GACAGAGGCCUCGAGCGUUAGGCGGAAUCACUGGGCUUAAAGCGUGUGUAGGCGGAUCGUUAAGUACCUUGUGAGAUCCCACGGCUCAACCGUGGAACGGCUGGGUAUACUGGCGGUCUUGGGCCAUUCAGGGGCGACUGGAACAAGCGGUGGAGCGGUGAAAUGCGUAGAUAUCGCUUGGAACGCCGAAGGUGAAAACAGGUCGCUGGGGAUGUGCCGACGCUGAGACACGAAAGCCAGGGGAGCAAACGGG
rnacentral:rRNA from 1 species